UACGUAGGGUGCGAGCGUUAAUCGGAAUUACUGGGCGUAAAGCGUGCGCAGGCGGUUUUUCAAUCCGGAUGUGAAAUCCCCGGGCUUAACCUGGGAAUGGCAUUCGGGACUGCAAGGCUGGAGUGCGGCAGAGGAGACUGGAAUUCCUGGUGUAGCAGUGAAAUGCGUAGAUAUCAGGAGGAAUACCAAUGGCGAAGGCAGCUCGCUGGGACGGUACUGACGCUGAGGCGCGAAAGCGUGGGGAGCAAACAGG
rnacentral:rRNA from 1 species